GUUCUUAUUACAAUUCUCAAAUUUAAAAUUAAGUUCUGAUCACAUCUUCUCAGGGCAUACCUAAGAGGCAGUGUUUAUCCCCAGCCAAAUCAAUUGUUUCCUCAAGUGACUCAUUCCUGAAAAUGUUAUUGUUUCUAAUAACCAGCUCAAAUAUGUAUUUUCAUUAAUCUUUUCUUUUACCUCCAUUUCACACGUGUUGCUGCAUGUCAGGCAGUUUCCACAAGGAUCUGCCAUGACAUCAUUGUGUGAGGUAUGAAAAAAAAAUUUUUUUUUUUCUAAUUUAAGAAUUACUUUUACUCAGAUGGUGGCUGGGCUGGGAAAUGUUCCCCAUUGCCCUGGGAGUUUUAGGCCAAGGCUUGUGUGUGUGUGUGUGUGUGUGUGUGUGUUGGAAGGGUCUCUCAUUGCCUAUUUCUGCUUAUAUAACACACACUGGUUUAGGUAGGUGGAGUCAGAAUGGGAAGAGGAAGUUCCCUAAGUGUUUCUUGCAUGCAAAGGGACUAUUUGGUUUCUAUUCUACUUCUGGCCUUUCAUAUUCCUGAUGGUGCAUUGGAUGAAACCCCGCAGCCAGGCGUGUGAACGUGGUUGAAAAGACCCAUGGAGGACCAGCAACGCUUCCCCACAGCGUGGGAUGGUCCCCUCCUGAGAUGGCCCACUGUCAGCGGGACUGACGCCAAGCACUGCAUCCUGUCUGCUUCUUGAACAGCCCCUUCAUUGUUUGUUCAGCUAUUCUGCUGCAUCUGCAGAUAGCCCUGCCUGAGAAACAGCCUCAAACCAGAAGGAGAGGAUGGCGGCAAGCCUUAGAGAAACAUAGCCAGUUGGAGUGUGAGGCUUCAGAAUCGCCUUCCAACUCUCUGUGCACUGCACCAGCUGCUUCCCAUAGACUCCUGGUAAAAUAUAAGAAAACCUGAUGUCUGAGCUGAAUCCUAAUCAUGAAGAUGUUUUUCCACCAUUCCUGUCUGUGUUUUUCUACCAUUCCUGUCUGUGUUUUUCUACCAAAGUGUGCUCUUGAAGUUCUGCAUUUCCCAGGGCAAACCACUACUCUAGAA
rnacentral:lncRNA from 10 species